rnacentral:rRNA from 1 species
GUGGGGAAUAUUGGACAAUGGGCGCAAGCCUGAUCCAGCCAUGCCGCGUGAGUGAUGAAGGCCCUAGGGUUGUAAAGCUCUUUCACCGGUGAAGAUAAUGACGGUAACCGGAGAAGAAGCCCCGGCUAACUUCGUGCCAGCAGCCGCGGUAAUACGAAGGGGGCUAGCGUUGUUCGGAAUUACUGGGCGUAAAGCGCACGUAGGCGGACAUUUAAGUCAGGGGUGAAAUCCCGGGGCUCAACCCCGGAACUGCCUGUGAUACGGGAUGUCUGGAGUAUGGAAGAGGUAAGUGGAAUUCCGAGUGUAGAGGUGAAAUUCGUAGAUAUUCGGAGGAACACCAGUGGCGAAGGCGGCUUACUGGUCCAUUACUGACGCUGAGGUGCGAAAGCGUGGGGAGCAAACAGGAUUAGAAACCCUAGUAGUCC